GAUGAAGAACGUAGCGAAAUGCGAUAAGUAAUGUGAAUUGCAGAAUUCAGUGAAUCAUCGAAUCUUUGAACGCACAUUGCGCCCUCUGGUAUUCCGGGGGGCAUGCCUGUUCGAGCGUCAUUACAACCCUCAAGCUUUGCUUGGUAUUGGACAUUGCCAGUUUCUGGCAGGUCUUAAAAUCAGUGGCGGUGCCAUUUGGCUUCAAGCGUAGUAAUUCUUCUCGCUUUGGAGAUCCAGGUGGUUACUUGCCAAUAACCCCCAAUUUUUUCAGGUUGACCUCGGAUCAGGUAGGGAUACCCGCUGAACUUAAGCACAUCAAUAAGCGGAGGA
rnacentral:misc_RNA from 1 species